UACUCCUACGGGAGGCAGCAGUGGGGAAUAUUGCACAAUGGGCGCAAGCCUGAUGCAGCCAUGCCGCGUGUGUGAAGAAGGCCUUCGGGUUGUAAAGCACUUUCAGCGAGGAGGAAGGGUAGUGUGUUAAUAGCACAUUGCAUUGACGUUACUCGCAGAAGAAGCACCGGCUAACUCCGUGCCAGCAGCCGCGGUAAUACGGAGGGUGCAAGCGUUAAUCGGAAUUACUGGGCGUAAAGCGCACGCAGGCGGUUUGUUAAGUCAGAUGUGAAAUCCCCGCGCUUAACGUGGGAACUGCAUUUGAAACUGGCAAGCUAGAGUCUUGUAGAGGGGGGUAGAAUUCCAGGUGUAGCGGUGAAAUGCGUAGAGAUCUGGAGGAAUACCGGUGGCGAAGGCGGCCCCCUGGACAAAGACUGAC
rnacentral:rRNA from 1 species